rfam:Felis catus isolate Cinnamon breed Abyssinian chromosome X, whole genome shotgun sequence.
ACCUGGCUGGCUCAGUCGGUACAGCAUGCAACUCUUGAUCACCGGGUUGUGAGUUCGAGCCUCACGUUGGGUG